UACGGAGGGUGCAAGCGUUAUCCGGAUUCACUGGGUUUAAAGGGUGCGUAGGUGGGUUGGUAAGUCAGUGGUGAAAUCUCCAGGCUUAACUUGGAAACUGCCAUUGAUACUAUCAAUCUUGAAUACCGUGGAGGUCAGCGGAAUAUGUCAUGUAGCGGUGAAAUGCUUAGAUAUGACAUAGAACACCAAUUGCGAAGGCAGCUGGCUACACGAAUAUUGACACUGAUGCGCGAAAGCGUGGGGAGCAAACAGG
rnacentral:rRNA from 1 species